rnacentral:sRNA from 1 species
UUCGCCAGCUAACGGGUUAGGUAUUUUUUAAAUACUUAAAGCGGAAUCGCACCGCUUAAGUGGCGAAGUACCCCAACAAAUGUCCUAUCUUGCUUAAUGGACUAGUAUAACGGUUAGGCUCUUAUGAAGCCACACAUAACUUAGGGUAUACUAUCAGGGUAUUAAGGUAAAAAAAUGCGGGGUUGAUAUCCGCGCCGAAGCAAGCGCCGCGGGCAUCAACUA